GACAGACAACAGCAUACAAACUUUUUAGCUAUGUGCAAUCUGUGGCUUCUGCGUAAAACACUUCGUUAUGCUGUCGCCACUUCUCAACAGUCUUCUAACCAUACAAACCCUCUGUACCACAUUUAUUGCUCUCUGCCACUGUGUCAAUCCGACUGGAGAGAGGGCGACAUAUUCACCUGCAUUGUCAACCGCUUAGUCAAUGACACCAACCUGAGCGAGGAAAUCAGAAUAGACUGCAGUGAAAUAGAAACCUGCCGUUGGAACCCCACUCCUUUGGUCAUCAUCUGUGUGAGCUCACUCAUUGGGGUAGCAGCCAUCACAGCAGUAACCCUAACCAUUUAUAAAUGUAAGUCUUAUAUUUUAGGGUGAUUUUUCUUUGGACAAUACAUUCACAAUAUGGCUGUUUUGUUCACACAUAUAUUUCACCAAAUUAAGUUCUGUAGUCACGUUUGAAUCUUUUAGGCAACUCUCAAGUCAAUCUGACCUUGUAACCAUUUCAAUUUCAAAUGAAUUGUAGGUAAUGUGAUUUGUUCUUUGAAUUCCCUGUGAUCUGUAUCAACCCAAAUUACUGUGUUUUUAUUUAAGUCACCUGUUUUGUGCACCCUGAAGAAGGCAUGUGAGACAACUCAUUUGUGCUUUUUAUUGUCAUGAUAUUACAUUAAAGGCUUUUUUAUCAUAAUCGUAUCGUAUGGUUAGAAGGUUAUGUCUAAAGAUUCAAUUGUCAUCUAAUUAUCUAACCUACUGUCCACUGACCACCUCUCCUACUACACCUGAUGCCAAAGCAGCACUCUUCCUUCUCUGCACUCUAUAUGACCAUAUAACAUGUUGGUUUCCUUAACCUCUCUUAGACAGAAUAUAUAAACAUAAAUAGUGCCAUAAUGUUAUGGAAAUUCUUGAACUAAUGUACAUUUGAGAAAUGUCUGCUUUACUAUUACCUGGUGUUUUUCUGACAUGUCUGCAGUGGAUCAUUAUGACCUCUGACCAUCUGUUAACCUGCCCAAACCAAUAAGAGUAUCUGUCCAUUGUUCUUCAGGAAUGUGGUUGACUGUCUGUACGAUGUUCCCUACCCCCGUGACAAUAAACACCUGGGGCAGGAAGGAUAAGGUGGGGGGGACAGUCGGUCCUUUGGGUAAAACCUAUGUGACAUAAGAGAGCAGGGCAGUAUCUUACCAGAGCUCUUGUCAAUUGUAAUAAAUACUUUGACUGGACUGUGUUUCCUCGGAGAUUCCUCACAGGCCUGUUAUGAUGUGUCCUAAACCUCUCUCUAUUUGCAAAUAAACUUAAUCGUGCAA
ensembl:lncRNA